GGAGAGCAGAAGAAUCUGGAAAAUCCAUGUGCGCCUGCUUACCUUGCUGCAGCUUGCAUGCAGAUACAGGCAUGGUUCUUAAAGGCCAAACAUGAGAAUUCCCUGUAUUUUGUUGCCCUUGAUCAUGGCUUUGGGCCUUUGUCCUUGAAAACAGAGUUUAAUGACUAUGACUCCUCCCACCUCCGCGAUGUGUGUGAAGAGAUGUUUCUCCAUAUCCCCUGCAGGAAUGCUCUGAACAUUGCCUUACUCCUGAUCUAGUCUUGCCUGAGGGGCUUGGCUGGGAAAGAAAUUGAACCUUUGGACGUUUUUCUGUCUUGCAUUUCCUAGAUUCAGUGACUGACAAAUCAAUUUCAAAUCUGCCUCGAUGAUCAGAAGUGCAAAUCUUAUAAAACCUCGAGUUUUGGAUCCAGACUCUGACACUAUUCAAAUCCUCAGCUAACAGCAGGGUGCUCAGAGAAUUCAGCCAGCAGCAUGCUCCAGUUUAGAAUUUCCUGCAAGUUCAUGGCUGAGUUUCGUGAAGACCGCUCUGCCACUGACAUCUUCUCCUGGCAAUGUGACAGAAAAUAAAUUGAAUAAUAUUAUGGUCA
rnacentral:lncRNA from 1 species